rnacentral:rRNA from 1 species
GACGAACGCUGGCGGCGUGCCUAAUACAUGCAAGUCGAGCGAAGUGGCGGAUGGGUGAGUCACGCGUGGGUAACCUGCCCUUAAGUCUGGGAUACCAGUUGGAAGCAGAUGCUCAUACCGGCUACUAAUGGAUGGACCUGGGAUGCAUUAGCUAGUUGGUAAGGUAACGGCUUACCAAGGCGAUGAUGCAUAGCCGAGUGGAGAGACUGAUCGGCCACAUUGGGACUGAGACACGGCCCAAACUCCUACGGGAGGCAGCAGUAGGGAAUCUUCCACAAUGGACGAAAGUCUGAUGGAGCAACGCCGCGUGAGUGAAGAAGGUUUUCGGAUCGUAAAGCUCUGUUGUUGGUGAAGCGGUAAUCAACCAGAAAGUCACGGCUAACUACGUGCCAGCCGCCGCGGUAAUUC